UCAAGUGUGUUGUGUGAAAUAUUGAAUCUCUGUGGAUACGAUCCUUACAUACUUUACUACAAAUCGAUCUAUUAUUUAAGAGAGUUGCUUGAUAUUACUUUGAACACAUAAAGAAUCAAGACAAAGAAUAGUAACAUACAGAUUAGCAACCCUUGGAUCAUUUGAUAUAGAUCGAAGGGCUGCUAAUAUGUUUGAUAUAAAAGUGAAACCGACGCAAGGAAAAAUAUUAAGACUAAAAUUGACAAGAAAUGUUUAUCAUCUUCAUUACACUCUCUUAAAGUUUUAUCAUUGCCUUCAUUUGUAACAUUGUUUCUGACAUUAUGUCCUUAUUUUGGGCCACCAAAGACUAACGGAUCAAAUAAUAUAAAACAUAAUCAUCAAACUGGCCAAUUACGUUUACAAGGUAAAUGAUCACGAGUACAUAUAUUAUACACGCUUCUUAUGGGCCACCUCCUCGGGGCGAUCUCGAAGGGGGUGUAUAAUAACGAGGGGGAGGGGGACGGGAAGGGGGAGGGGGACGGCGAGACGGUGAAAUUCUUCCUGUACAAUAAGAACAAGAUGUUUCAUUACUUUCUUCAUUGAAUAAUACGUCAAAUCUCAUCUGGCUUUGAAAAAUAUAAACAUUUGAUAUCUUAUAAAUCGUGUAUAACACAAAUACAGUAUUCUUUAUUAUUAUUUUUUACAUUUAACAGUCAGAAACAAAAGUUCUUGUGGUUCUAACAGCGAGAAACACUAAUGUGUAAGUAAUUGAAUUUCUGGGGUGACCAAAACAGAAUAUAAUGAUUAAAAAAAUAUGAUAAAAUAACUUUAAAAAUAUCAAUAUGUACAGAAACCUUUAAAGGCGUGCUUCUUGCAUAAACAUAAAUAAUAGAAGAACUGAAAAGGCAAAUAUGAAAUGGGUGCAAGCAAAUACUAACGUGGAAUUCGUCUAGCUUCCGUAAGACAAACUUGAGAGGAGACAAAUAAUUGCAGAAGAAUCAAAGAGAGAACCAGAGAAACCAAACUUGAUGACUUUGUAGCCAUUAUAGUCCAAUUUGUCACAUUGCCCAUUACGAAAGACCAUGUAU
rnacentral:lncRNA from 1 species